rnacentral:rRNA from 1 species
AGAUGAGAUUUCCCAUUACGCAAGUAAGUAAGAUCCCUCAAAGACGAUGAGGUAGAUAGGUUCGGGGUGGAAGCGUGGCGACACGUGCAGCUGACGAAUACUAAUCGAUCGAGGACUUAACCAAAUA